GAUGAAGAACGCAUCGAAAUGCGAUAAGUAAUGUGAAUUGCAGAAUUCAGUGAAUCAUCGAAUCUUUGAACGCACAUUGCGCCCGCCAGUAUUCUGGCGGGCAUGCCUGUUCGAGCGUCAUUUCAACCCUCAAGCCCAGCUUGGUGUUGGGGAUCGGCACAGGCGCCCUCGGGCGCCAGCCGUCCCCUAAAUCUAGUGGCGGUCCCGCUGCAGCCUCCUCUGCGUAGUAGUUUUCUCCUCGCAAGGGCAGCUCGGUGGCGACCUCGCCGUAAAACCCCCAACUUCUGAAAGGUUGACCUCGAAUCAGGUAGGAAUACCCGCUGAACUUAAGCAUAUCAAUAAGCGGAGGA
rnacentral:misc_RNA from 1 species